CUCCAUCUCUGAUAUUGUUAAAUCUACAAAGAUAUAAAGAAGGUAUAUCUAUUAUAAUUUUUAUUUUGAGUUUACUCAAAAACAAUCAUGAGACCUUCAAUUCUA